rnacentral:lncRNA from 1 species
AACUUCCAUGUUGCCAUGUUCUCAGUGUUGUUUCCAGUAAUUACUGCAGGUUAAGUGCACGUCCCGGAGCCCAAGGAGGCAGCUCUAUCCCUCACCUGGGACAUGACUCAGCACAGCUCAGGUCAUCCGGCUAUUUCUCUGACCACUGGACCACACCCCAGCCUACUCUAAAGCCACAGGACAAUCACUGUUUACAAAGGACUUACUUUCACUUCCAUCAUGAAAGGGUCAUGGGGGGUCUGGUCCUGGUCCUGGUCCUGGUCCUGGUGCCUGUUGCUGAUCACAUGGGCAUGAGAUGGGACGACACUACCACGCUGGCAGUCUGAAUCAUUACUCACACAGAUAAGGAGAGACCCCGGACUGAGGAACCCCUAACAUCCUCCACCCUUUUUACACAGGUGCUACACACACACAUACAGUAUACACACACCUACACUCUCACACACAUACAGCUUUCUAAUCUUUGUUUGCACCUUUGCCUCUUACUAGUUUUUUUAUGCUUCCUUUUAAUUUCUGUUAAUUCAUUUUCUUUGUCACUUUAGCUCCUGAUUUCCAGAAGAGCCAUUGGCAUCAAAAGCUCCCGAGGUGUGUAACAACAAGGAGGAACCUGUUACCUACAAAUUUAAAGACAUAUACAUACAAUGCAAUGGAAAUUACAACUGUAACUUACUUCACAAUAUAGUAAUGGGGAUUUCUUUGUCAGAAUUUACAUUAAGAUUGUGAUUAAAGAGUAACUGAACCCCAAUAUAAUAUUUAUUCCGCUGAAAACAAAAGUAUUUGGUAUGAAGUAGUGUGUUACAAGCGUUUCACUUUGGUGUAUUUUGUUAUAAAAUGUAAGAGUGACUGCCCUCGAUGGGUUGAAACCUAGGUAUUACAAUACAAUUUUGCUAUUGGCUGAAAAUGCUGGUUUGUCACAUUUUGGUGGCUUCUAACAUCAGGAACCACCACUGUUGGUCCCGCCCCUCCUAUACACUAUAUAUAUAGCACCUGUCAGUUCUGCAAUCUGUGGUGGGUUGGAUUGAGAGAAUUGUGAACAGAGAGCUAUAUAUAGUGUAAUAUUUAGUGAGUAUUGAAUAGGUGGUUAACAUUGCAUAGAUCAGGGGUGUCAAACUCAUAUAGUUCAGGGGCCAAAUAUGGAGCAAUUUGAUCUAAAGUGGGCCACAGAUUUUAUGCAGGAAAAGGAGUAAUUUCAACAUUAUUGUGCCCUAGUUUGCACUUCUACGUAUACAUUAAAUAAGAAACGGACCAUAUCCAAGCAAUAAGUGAUAGAAAUCAGUCCCAACAGGGUCUUUACUUUAAAUUUCCUAGAUUUUGUGACAAAUUUCU